ACAAAAAUGCUUCUAACUACCUUGUUUUACAAACAGAAAUUUUGUCUGUGAACUAUAUGAAGUAAAAGUUGAUAAGGACUGUUAAUCUUUUAAGUCACUAUAGACAUUUUAAGUGUAAUAGGUAAUGCAGGUUGCUGUAAAAAAGUGGUUCAGCUGGUUUAAAAUACAAACUUUUUCAGGUCAGUUGGCUAAGUUUCAGAAACCCCCCAGGUUUAAAUAUUGUUUAUUAGUUUGGGACUUAGGUGGAUUUUGAGGGGUCACUAAGGAAUGAGUAAAUGGGAUGUUAUACCCUCUUUGCUAACAUUGUAACUAUAGGAUGAUCAGAAUGUUUAAAUAUUAAGAUGCUUGUAGAAGAGCAGCAACUUUUGUUUCUAGUCUCCUAUGGCAUUCAACACAGAGUUAAUAAUAACUUUGCAUACAUUGUGUUGCUGGUCAAUAGAAACUAGAAAGCAGCAAUGUGCCACCAAAAUUUCCCACACUCUCUCUCGCUCAGUUGUAUGCUAGGAAGUUUGAUGGAAACCAAAAUUCCCUUCUUGCUUGUCAUGUUCGGUUCUGUAUUGGAUUUGCAUUGCUUAAUUCAUCUAAUACUUUCCUUCUCUUGUCCUGCGUUAUGGGUUUCUGUUGAGUAGAAGGGUGUUUGAAUUGAUGUGUUGGUGUAAUGGGUUGUCCUUUUUGAUUGGGACAUGAUGUGAUGAGUAUUUCGUUGCGUUUUGAUUUGGAAAGAGGGAAAAACUAUGAAUCAUUCCAAUGCUCGGUCUUUAUGGGUUGGGUCUAUGAAUCAUGUGCUGUAUUUUCUCCCCCCCUUCGUAUGAAAAAGUUGACCUUGUUUUGGAACCAGUUCAUAAGAAAAUAUGAAUCUGAAACUGUAAAUAGAUGCAGAUAUAGGUUUUGAAUUUUGAAAUCCUAAGAGUGUCCGAAUGCCAAAAAUUACAAGAUGAGGAGUAGCAUGAUAUUUAAUUACUAUUCCCAUGAGAUAUUAAAUUAUUGAUUACCAAAGGUGUGAUUUUGGGUUUCUUAAGGAAUGUUGUGUGGAUUAGAAAAUAAGAAUACACUCUGUUGUCUAGAUUUUAUAAAGCACAUACAGCUUAGGUGGUGUUGUUCUUUGUUGCCACUAAUGAAUUUUCCAAACAUACUUGAGUUUCAUGCUUGGUGUGAUGCAAACAUAAUGGUUGAUAGCUAUCAAGAGGAAUGUUCUUUGAAUUGACAUUGUGGUUUUGAGUUCUCUUGCGUGUCAUUAAGAAAUCAUAAAGUAUGGUGUUUUCAAAGAUUUAGUAGUUACUAUUGGUGUAAUUUUGGUAUAUGCAUAAAGUAGAUGGACAGAUUUGAUGGGACUGACAUGUCUUGGCAUGCUGUGUAAAUUGUUACUAAUAAAUUGCUUUCUGUAAACAGGAACAUAGAUCGGUUUUCUGUGAAUAUGACAUAAAGAAUAUGUAAACAUAAAAUAGAGACUACUUAUGUACAGGCAUUCAGCAAGCUAUCACAGUGUGACAGAAGAAGUAAAACACGCUCCAUAAGGUUUAUAACAAGUUAACCUGUUUAAUUAAUAAGGUAAAAGAGAUGAAUUAGAAUAAAAUGACAUAAUCAAGUCUUAAGGGGACUAUACCUGGUUUUUGUCACUGGGUUCUGUGUCCAAGGAUUGUCUGGAUUGGCAUAUGACUAGUGUGUAGUUUAUAAAUAAAGCAUUUUUCACAUUUAAAAUUUGGAAGCUCGUGGAAGAGUGACAAAGUUAAGGGAAGGGAAUCAUGUACUAAUAACAGGUCAAUUAUGGAUGUGGAAAAUUUAUCAAGAUCCUCAAAGAUGUUGGAUUGAAUGAGCCCCUGAAGAAUAUUUCUACUCAUUCUCUGACAGUGAAUAAUGAAUGUUAAUAGCUUUCUCAAUUCCUAAAAUAUGUUAUCUUUUAUGUGGAGUCUAGAUCUAGGGCAAUAACUUUUGGUGCAGGAAACUUUCAUGGUUUUUGGACUUUUUGGAGCUCUUUUCAUCUUGAUUGCUUAAACAUACAAGGGUUUGUGGCUAUUUGGUCUGGACAUAUUUCAGUAUGGUUCACCAGUUUGUGGUUGUUGAGCUUUCUGACAAUGCAUUUGUUGUUUUAGGGAUUUGAUCUGAUUGAUUGAGGACUCACAGAGGUGGUAGCUAAGGCAAUUCAACAAUUCAACUAUUAACCUGAAAUUCUUUCUACAAAUAUUUGUCGUGUACACGGAUGUCUUUCAUUUCAAAGUUCUUGCUGCGAAACUCCCAAGAUUGUUGUUUUAUGUCCAUGAUUGCCUUAGUAAAUGGUUCCUCACAAGUUCUGCUCAUUUUUAUCGAAUAAGGUUGUGCACACAUGCAUACUUUGUAUAUGCAUCAAUAAAAGAAGUAGUUUAUAGGAAAGCCAUAAAAGAGUAUCCUCUCUGUCACAUUUUACACACGAUCUCCGAUAAUGGUGUCAAUUAGAUUGGUUUACUUUUGUGUAACUGUUCUCUAUUAACUAAUUGUGUUCUAUUUCAUAACUCGCUAUUUAGUUGUAUUUGCAUGUUUUUGCUUUUAGACUCAGUUUCUUGCCAAUGCAUUCUCCAAGGAGCAUUCAUGAAUCCAAAGCAUUUACCUCCUUUUUCUUGAAGAAUAGCAAGGGCUCAAAGGUGUGUGUACGGUCAAGAGUGACUUGGUAGAGUUCUGGCAAACUCAUUGGAUUUUGAAAAGUGUAGGAGGUCGACCUUGAUCCUAUGUACCACAAAUUAGAAGUCCAGAUCUGUGCACUUUUAAGUUUUAACAAAUGUAGUUACUUAAAUUGAAAACAAGAUAUGAUCUUGCAAAAACAGAAUAUUUAUUACUGUAACUAAUUGUUUUCUCCAUAUUUCAGGACAAUUGGAAAUCUGUUUUGACUUCUGAGGGGUUUCUUCAAUCAUAUUUAUUCUUAUAAAAACAAUAUCCAUGUGCUGUUCUGCAACUAAAGGGUGCUUCAAUUUUUUUGCUAGUUUUGUGAAGUGGUUUGAAUUUUUUUUGGUGAGUUUUGAGCAGCAACUCAACGAUUGUGCAAUGUUUCAAAUGAAACUAUGGACAGCUGUCUCAAGUGCAAGGGGUAAACGUGUCAACCACACCUGCUUUUUUCUUAUCUUCUCAAACAUUUCAGGGAAUGGAUUUUACAACAGACAAGUUGAGUCUUCGGUAAGGAAAUGGCAGAUAUUGAUUGAAGUUCCAUUUGGAUGUGAAGACUACUAACAAUUACAGUUUGAGGAUGUUCUGCAUGGAUUUGCUAAGAGGCGUCAAACAGGUCAAGAGGACCUCUUAUGCCCAGUCCUGCCAAAUUAGACAGGCAUAAGAAAAUCAUGUCUGAAAAAGCGAUGCAUCUGCUGGACAUCCAUUUUGCCAAUGUGGAGUUGCUGCUUGUAUACGAACUGCUGGUUUUAUGGUUGUGUAAAUUGUCAGGAUAAUCGUUCUUGUAAAUUUUUUGAUUGGGUUGAUUUACCAAUGUCCAAAUAUGGGUUAAGAGUAAUGAUGCUGCUGAGGGAGAAACAAGAGGGAAAUGAAGGCUGAAGUUGUUAGGGUUGAAACAAUGAUGUAUGAAGAACUGACAAAAUGCAAGUCAAACAUGGAGAGAUAAUUUGCUAAAUUUCGACUGCAGAUAGAGUUGUAUGAAACUAAGAAGAUGUACCAAGGUACCUUAGUUUUUGUGUUUUCUUCUGAUAUUUUGUGCUGGUGGUUACAGUAAUACUAGUAUUAGUAAUAUGAUGUUCCAUCAUAUACUUUGAUUAUGUUUGUCACGGUUAUUGUAUAUUUACUAGUAUUAGUAAUAUGAUGUUCCAUCAUAUACUUUGAUUUUGUUUGUCACGGUUAUUGUAUAUUUGGACUACAUGUUGGCACACCAACUUCUAGCACUUGUUAACUCUCUCUCUCUUGUUUUAGAGAGAGAAGCUCUGAAAAAACCCUAAGUUUUUUUCUUCCCAACCGCCUCCUUAGUGGGGUUUUUUCUGCCGCCUCGUGCGGUCUUUCCGGGGAGGAGGGAAAGGCUUUGCCUUUUCCUUUCUCUCCUCCCUUUUUCCGUUUCCUCCUUGUUUCUCCUUCCUCUUCUCCUGGUUUUCUCUUGUUUUUUACUUUUCUCUCUUUCUUUUCCACUGUUCCUCUGCCUUCUCCGUUCAGCGCCGCCAUCACCGGCCCAUUUUGUUGAUCUGCCUUCGCCGUCCCUCCUCCGCCACAGAUCAGCCACAGAUCGGUCGAGCUUUCCACAGAUCCGCCAUCGUUGUCCCAUCUCCACCACAGAUCCGUCCAUCUUCUCCUCCUCGUGUGGCUCCUCCGAUCUACCCUCCGCCUGCCUACCUCCGUCCCUGCUGGUGUUGUGUGCUGCUGAUUUGUGUUUUUAUUGUUGUGUUGUAAUCUUUUUGUUUAUUUGUUGUAAUCUUGCUGUUAUUUCCCUGUAUUUUUUCUGUUUGGUUGUGCUGUUUUUCUUAUUUUCUGUGGGUUACUAUCUCCAUGAUCUGAUCUGGUUUGACCUUGUGAGGGAGUUUUUUGAUGCCGGUGGUUGUCCUUCAGCGGCUCAUUUUCAGUUUUACGCAGCGCCAUCCCUGCAACUUUCAUUUCACAGUGAUUGUUACCUUUACCGCAUAAGUCUCUUCACCGAGAUUUUAUGCACUUUAGAACCGCCUUGUGCGGCCUAGGAACAGGCCCGACUUGUUUAUGGUUUCUCUGAGGCCAUAGAUGAAACCAUUGCCUAUUGCUUGAUCCUUUCGGAUCAUUCCCUGUAUUUGGUCCUUUUGGACUUUUCCAUGUAUCCCUGCUGCUUUAACUGCUUAGGCUUUGUUGUUAAGGUGCCCACCCUUUUGUUGUUGUUCGAUCACAUGUAACCCUUUUUCCCUUAUUUGAUUAAAAAAAAAAAAAAAACUUCUAGCACUU